GGGGCGGCAGCCCAGAGAGGUACGGUGGGGCGAGGCCAUGCAAGGCUUUAAAAGCAAAUAAAAUCAUUUUAAAAUGAAUCCUAAAACGAACGGGCAGCCAGUGGAGUGAAGCUAAACGAGAGACUAGGUCACUUCCUGUACCUCUUUGAUCAAGUCGGCGUCAUAGUCUUCGGUUUCCAGGCCGUCGUGGGUCGGAGGCGUCCCGGUCUCAGAGGUGAAGGUCAGCCAAUCGUCGGAGUGCGAUCGGGGUCUCUCUUUGUGCUCGGGGGGCCUCUCCUCCCCCUGGACGCUCCUGACGGCCUGAGCCUCCUCGCCCUGCACGGCCCUCUCCAACAGCUGCAGAAACAUACAGAACCAAAGUCGGCCGAGAGAGGGCGCGAGGAGGACGACGAGGAGGAGCGCGACGACGUGGAGGCGUGGCGGUCGCCGUGGCUCAAAGUGCGCUUGCGCUGUCGCACCAGGGCCUUCUGGUGCCUCUUCAUCCUCUCCAGCUGCUCGUCGGCGCUCAUCCUCCCGCGUUGAGGCGCCGCCUCCGCGGAGUACAGACGUUCCAAGGCACUUUUUGAUCGCUCCUGGGAGACCGCAGGGGAAACCAAAGCAACAUGUGCACACGACAGGGAAGUGAGACGAAGUGAACACUUGACGACAGCGCUAUUCGUUCAAAUGAGUAUUUUAUAUUUAAUACAGAGUAAGGAAGUACCUCGACUUUCAAGUGCCCUAACGACCUAUAAUGCGUCAGAUUGCUAGCUAGUUUCAAAUAUGCUCCCGCUGGAGUGAAUUUAAAAAAAAUAAAAUAAAAAAAACGAUUGCACCAGCCACAGAUGCACUAAGUCGUUUAUUGAACGGGACGAACAACCAGACGCACAAAUACACCUAAACUAAACCCAUGAUAAAGAGUCAACCUAAGCUAGAGUCAGAGCGCCAGGCCACGCCCCUUAAAGGCACCCACCAACACUUUCAGUUUAAUUACACUGUAUAAAUCCAGUUUAUGCCUUUACAUUCUAUUUGAUUUUGUUCCAUUCAUAUUUUACAAUAAAGGGCUAUUUUUCUUCAUUUUAUC